AUGGCGUCACCGCUGGGUCACCAUCACUGUCACCACCACGUCAACGUCACCGUCACCACUGUGUCCCUGUCACAACGCUGUCACCGUCUGGUCACCAUUGUGUCACCAUCACUGUGCUGUCACCCUUGUCACCAUCAUUGCGCUGUCACCAUCCUUGUGGUGUCACCGUCACCACGGUGUCACCAUCACUGCGGUGUCACCAUUGUCCCCGUGGUGUCACCAUCCUGGUGGUGUCACCAUUGUCACCAUUGUCCCCACGGUGUCACCAUCCUUGUGGUGUCAGCACCACUGUGGUGUCACCAUUGUCCCCGUGGUGUCACCAUCCUGGUGGUGUCACCAUUGUCACCAUUGUCCCCACGGUGUCACCAUCAUGGUAGUGUCAGCAUCACUGUAGUGUCCCCAUUGUCCCCAAGAUGUCACCAUCCUGGUGGAGUCACCAUUGUCCCCACUGUGGUGUCACCAUCAUGGUGGUGUCACCAUUGUCCCCACGGCAUCACCAUCACUGUGGUGUCCCCACUGUCCCCAUGGUGUCCCCACUCUGGUGUCACCAUUGUCCCCAAGAUGUCACCAUCCUGGUGGUGUCACCAUUGUCCCCAUGGCUGUGGUGUCACCAUCAUGCUGGUGUCCCCAUUGUCCCCAUUGUCCCCAUGGCAUCACCAUCACUGUGGUGUCCCCAUUGUCACCAUCAUGAUAGUGUCUCCAUUGUCCCCAAGAUGUCACCAUCCUGAUGGUGUCACGAUCAUGGCGGUGUCACCAUUGUCCCCAUUGUCCCCAUGUUGUCACUAUGGUGGUGUCCCCAUGGCCAUGGUGUCCCCAUUGUCCCCAAGAUGUCACCAUCAUGGUGGUGUCCCCAUUGUCCCCAUGGUGUCACCACGGUGGUGUCACCAUCAUGCUGGUGUCCCCAUUUUCCCCAUUGUCCCCAUGGCCGUGGUGUCCCCAUUGUCUCCACUGUGUCACUAUCACUGUGGUGUCUCCACUGUCCCCAAGAUGUCACCAUCACUGUGGUGUCACCAUUGUCCCCAAGAUGUCACCAUCUCGGUGGUGUCCCCAUUGUCCCCAUGGUGUCACCACGGUGGUGUCACCAUCAUGCUGGUGUCCCCAUUGUCCCCAUUGUCCCCAUGGUGUCCCCAUACAAUGUCCCCAAGGGGAUCCUUGAGGUGUCCCCAGUGGGCUGAAGCGUUCCCAGUGGGUCCACAAAUGGGCUCAAAAUGUCUCCAAGGGGUCCCCAAGAUGUCCUCAAAUGGGAUGAAAUGUCCCCAAAUGGGCUCCAAUGGUCCCCAAAUGGGCUGAAAUGUCCCCAAGGGGUCCCCAAAUGUCCCCAAGUGGGCUGAAAUGUCCCCAGGGGGUCCCUAGAUGGGUUCAGAUGUCCCCAGGGUGUCCCCAUACUGUCCCCACAUGGGCUCAAAUGUCCCCAUGCUGUCCCCAAAUGGGAUGAAAUGUCCCCAAGGGGUCCCCAGAUGUCCCCAGAUGGGCUGAAAUGUCCCCCAGAAUGUGCCCAAAUGGGAUGAAAUGUCCUCAGAAUGUCCCCAGAUGGGUUCAAAUGUCCCCAGGGUGUCCCCAAAAUGUCCCCAAAUGGGAUGAAAUGUCCCCAAGGGGUCCCCAGAUGUCCCCACAUGGGCUGAAAUGUCCCCAGGGUGUCCCCAGAUGGGUUCAAAUGUCCCCAGGGUGUCCCCAUGCUGUCCCCACAUGGGAUGAAAUGUCCCCAAGGGGUCCCCAAAUGUCCCCAAGUGGGCUGAAAUGUCCCCAGGGGGUCCCCAGAUGAGUUCAAAUGUCCCCAGGGUGUCCUCAAGGUGUCCCCAAAUGGGCUCAAAUGUCCCCAGAAUGUCCCCAAAUGGGAUGAAAUGUCCCCAUGGUGUCCCCAAAAGGGGGGACACCGCCCAUAGUGCUCCUUAAUCACCCUACAGUGCCUCCAAAGUGUCCCCACAUGUCCCCAGAUCACCCAUAGUGUCCCUAUGGUGUCCCCAAAUGCCCCCAUAGUGCCCCCAAAUCACCCUACUGUGCCCCCAAAUCACCCCAUACUGUCCCCAAAUGUCCCCAUAGUGUCCCCAAAUGGGCUGUAAUGCCCCCAUAGUGUCCCAAAUGUCCCCAGAUCACUCCACGCUGUCCCCAUCAUGUCCCCAUAACGACCCCAUACGGGCUGCAAUGUCCCCAAACGCCUCCAAAUGUCCCCAAAUCACCCCAUACUGUCCCCAAAUGCCCCCAUAGUGCCCCCAAAUGGGCUGUAAUGCCCCCAUAGUGUCCCCAAAUGUCCCCAAAUCACCCCAUACUGUCCCCAUACUGUCCCCAUAGU
rnacentral:lncRNA from 1 species